rnacentral:SRP_RNA from 1 species
CCGUUGGCCCCUCGCGACGCUAGUUCGAAAAUCCCGCCAGGGCCGGAAGGCAGCAACGGUAUUGAAUGAUGCGGGCGCCGAGGAUCGUCGGCGGGGC